AAUUCAUUUCCAAUUAAAUCAGUUUUAUAGACUGAAUGGCUGAAAACAGGUACCAUUAGUUUCUUCUAAGCUGGAAAAGAAUGUGCUUACUUAAACUAUAUUAUAGUGGUGGGGAAAAAAAAAAAAAAAAGAAUUUUCAGAUAUGCAGAAUGAAAGCGGUAGCAAAUUAAGAUUACCUUUCUCUCUGAAAAACUUUCAGUGCUCCUUCCACCCUGCAAGUGGUGCUUGAAUUGUAGUGGUUUGCGGGUGAUUCAGUAAUCAAAAUCUUAUUUGUAGUGUCUUUAUAGCAGACUUCACAGAUUAGGAAUUUAGUCACUGCAAUUAAAUGUUCUUCCUGAAGCAGAAAACCACAACUAGGAGACUGAAACACAAGGAAAGUGUGGGGGAUGGAAGAGAAAUGAAAAGCUAGAGCAUACCUUUGUCCAAGGUUUUCAUUGUAUCUAACCUUCUCUGUCACUUCUUUCCUUCUAAUUCUUUCAGAAGAUAGAAAAACAUCCUCUCUCACUAUAGAAAAGCACUCUCAAAUUUCCAUGCUACUACUUGAAACAUGGUGAUGCUUUUAAAGCAGACAUUUUCCAUGGCCUUAACUGCUCACAGGUCUGUCCUAAAACCAAAGUAGCCACUGUGCAUACCUAUCAACAUUGCUCUGAUAUGAGGCUGAAGAUGAUUCUUCAGAGCAGUGGCUAGAGAUAAGGAAGGUAUGCUUUGUCUCGUUUGUAGGAAUACAAGUGCUGAAUGGCCUGCUGCCUGUCUCCCUGUUCUACCAUCAGUCAAGAAAUUGAUAGAGAUUGUUUCCACUUUUUUUUUUCUUCACCCUCCUCAGUACCACACAAGUUUUAAUGUCUUUGGCAAUUCAUUUGAUUUAAGUUUUCAUGGAAGUAGGUCACUGGAUUAAAAUUUAAGCUAGUAUGGUAUGUGAAACAAUCCAGAGUUGCAGAAUUUUGCUUGAGAUAACUGAUUAUGAACCAGAGUGAAUCUCUGAUCGUGAUGAGAAAAAGAAAAUGAUGAGCAAUUAGACAAACACUUCCAUAAACAUAUCUUCACCUGCUUCCCAGUACAAGUACAUUUUGCUGUGAGUUGUACUCAGUCCAUGUGAACACCUCUGGUAUGGCAAUGGGCAGCAAAGGAGGGUGGGGUGGUCUGUGUGAUGGUUUCUAUCUGCUACUUUGUGUUAAUGGUUCCUGUAUUCCUGCAAGCCACAGUCCCAAAGGGGUGUCCAUGCCCUGUCUAGUGGCUAGAGAACAUUAGGAACCUUGGGGGUGUCCCUGCCCUACUGUGAGUGGCCCUUAGUCACAGUCCCUCAGUUGUGUCCCUACUGCUUUUGGCUUAGAGUGUCCCACCACCACCAAGUGCGUCUCCAGCCCCUCACAGCUGCCUCUGUCUUAGAUAUGACUAAGCAGAGAUGCUGUGCAGUUUUCUGAUACUGCUUGUUUGUUUGUUUUCCCAUCAAUUUUAUCUGCUUUGGGACAAGCUGGAGCCAAUUUUAGACCGGCACAAAGCAGUUCAUGACUUCCUGCCAUACAGGUCACUGUUACAGCCCGUGAUACUUAAAGCCUGUAACAUAUGCACAUUACUGCUAGAUAAAACUGAUUGAAUGAUAGAUACAUGACAUAGAUGUGUACCACUUGUUUCCUUACAGAUAUAUUGGGGGGAAAAAAGAAGAAAAGGAACGGCAUUAACUUUUUCUCUGCUGUUUUUUCCUAAAAGGUAAGAUACUUACAUUAUCACUCAUGGGAUGAAUAAGAUGCUUACUGUGAAGGGAGAGAUUUUUCUGUGAAUUUCAGUCUUAUAUAGGCAUUUAACAGGAAUGUUCCUCAAAGAGUGGUGUUAAAUAGCAAAGACCAGAGGAGAAAUUGCAUUUGAAAUCCCAUCUUUUCUACAUUUUUAAAUUGGUGGUUCCAUCUUACAGUUGUUUUAAUUCAUAAUUAAGCAGCUAACUAUACUCAUUAGCUAAAAAUAAGUAAAUAUUGUUGAGACUUGCAUUUGGUUCACAGGAAUAUGAAAAUUUGGUGAAGAUGUGAAUUUUCUCUUUAGAAUUCCAGCUUUCUGUUCAUUCAGACUUUUCUCAAAUGGCUUACUUUAUUUUGACUAAUGUUAACACUUCAGAAAAUGCCAUCCUUCUCUCUGAACAGACUAUCUCAUUUUACUUAUGUUACAAUUGGUUAGGCCACGUUUCUUAAAUCCUAAUAGCAUUAUUCUUGUUCUGGAAAAUAAUUUCCUGGUUCCAUACUUUGGUGAAAAUAUUCCUUUUUGUUGGUCUUAACAUCAUAGUAUGUCUGCAUUUUCCCAGCGAGGUAGUCCUCAGGGAGUCCUAUGUGUAAUUAUUGCUUUCAUAUGAAAUCUGUUUUGGUCAAGUAUGAUACUAUUUUAGGUCUCUCAUAAGGACAUAUAUGGAAUUCAAUUUUGUAUAGAACCUCAAUUUCUAAAACAUUCAUAUAAUAAUUAUUCAUUACUUUAAAGUGUGUUGGUGCUUUGUAAAGGAGACAAAGUCCAGUUCACAUGGGGAAAAGGACGGAGCUGUAGAAAAGUGAAAGUAUUAUAUUUUAACUGAGAGUUAGAAUAAUUAAUAAAAAUAAUUUCACUUCUUCCA
rnacentral:lncRNA from 1 species